AUACCGCGAUCUUACUACGUUCUCAGCAAUACCGUUAAUAUCGUGUUUCAUAUCAAUAUAGUUCCAUUCCUUCUAUUUCUGAUUAAAUCGGAGAUUUCUCGGAAACAAUACAGUCAUGCCACCGAAAUCUACUAGAACACGUGGGCGUGGUGGUAGGGGUUGAUGUAGAGGCAGAGGGAGCAAAGUAUGAACGCCAUACUAAACUCCAAAUAGUACACAAGAAACUAAAAUUAAAAAUAAUACAAGACUAACAAAGGCUCCUGACUUGGGACAGACGCAAAAAUAGUGGGGUUAAACAUGUUUGUGAGAUCUCAACCCUCCCC
rnacentral:lncRNA from 1 species